AUGUUGACGCCGAUUAUAGGCUUCUCUGGUGAUUUUGAGUCGCUAUGACGAUGGAAGAGAGGAAUAUAAUAUGUGUCUUUGGAGUCUGCUCAACAAAUAAAUGACAGCCCUUUGGCAAGAAGCAGAUGGGAAAACUUGUCUCCAGAGAAAGGGCUAAUAGCAUUGUAAAGAGGAGGCAAGGUGAAACUGAAAAAACACAGAAGUAUUUGGUGGGCCAUGCUUACAACCCCAAC